UACAGAGGGUGCGAGCGUUGUCCGGAAUCACUGGGCGUAAAGGGCGCGUAGGCGGCGCGGGGAGUCAACGGUGAAAGCUCGGCGCUCAACGCCGAGUCGGCCGUCGAUACUCCCGUGCUUGAGCACUGUAGAGGCAGGUGGAAUUCCGGGUGUAGCGGUGGAAUGCGUAGAGAUCCGGAAGAACACCGGUGGCGAAGGCGGCCUGCUGGGCAGUAGCUGACGCUGAGGCGCGACAGCGUGGGGAGCAAACAGG
rnacentral:rRNA from 1 species